rnacentral:sRNA from 1 species
GCUGUGGGGCUGAGGGGGUGGCAGUGCGGCGGGUUACGGCCUGGUCAGGCCAUAAUGACUUCAGCAAAUAAAGCAAUCGAAUUACAACUACAAGUGAAACAAAAUGCAGAAGAAUUACAAGACUUUAUGAGGGAUUUAGAAAACUGGGAAAAAGACAUUAAACAAAAGGAUAUGGAACUAAGAAGACAGAAUGGUGUUCCUGAAGAGAAUUUACCUCCUAUUCGAAAUGGGAAUUUUAGGAAAAAGAAAAAAGGCAAAGCUAAAGAGUCUUCCAAAAAAACCAAAGAGGAAAACACAAAAAACAGGAUAAAAUCUUACGAUUAUGAGGCGUGGGCAAAACUUGAUGUGGUAAGUUAAUCUGGUCAUUUGCUUCUUAAUAUUUGAGUAAAAUUUUGUGGGAGUUAGCUGAUAAUCAUGGGUUAAGUGAAAGAUAACGUAGAGUUAUGACCUGUGUCUUUCUCUUAUACAUGAUUUUAUGUGGAAUAAACAUUUAAUUACAUAGCUCUUUAGUUAAUGAGGUAAUUUUUUUUUCCUGUAAUCCUCUUUCAGCGAAUGGUGGCUAAAACAGCCAGGAUUUUAUUUUUUCUUUCUUUUUACAAAAAUUACUAUUUACUUAUUA